GUUAAUAACUUUGACAUGGUGUCUUUGUUAUUACAUCUUCUCUACAAUGUUUAUAUUGUGUGUGUGUGUAUACUUUCUCUUUCUCUAUUAUAUGUAUAUUUGAUAUUUUGGUAUUUAUGUUAUGAAGUGUUCAGUGUAAAACCGGAAGUCUUUUAAUUUGAAUUAAUUACCAUUACGGAUAUAAACAGACACGGAAAGAUCACACAUGAUCAUGGCGUCCCAGCUGUGCGGUCUGCUACGGACUAAAGGUUUAGCUUCUGGUUUGAUUGGAGAACAAGGUACUGACACUUCGUUUGAUAUGUUUGUUUGUUUGUAUUGAGUUUGUAUAUUGAGUUUAAGUGAUGUCUGUUUGUUUGUAUAUGGUUUUCAUAUUUGCUUACAUUUGGUUUCAUUUUCUCUUUGUGUACAAGCUCUUACGGUGUUUGCCGUACGGUGCAAGAUAUACGGUGUUUGGCCUUUGGUAUAAGGUGUUUUGAUGUUGACGACGGCGUCAGUGAAGUGAAUGCUGCACUGAAAUAAAUUAUGGAAAAACACCAGUGAAAGAGGCAAUCCUUUAUUGAACCAGGGAGCUACAGUAAGAGCUUGCCAUCAUCGGGUCGCUGCUUAACGGAGUGGACGGCAAUUAAAAGGACUUCUGGCAUCGGCGCGCUCGUUGGGAACGGUGUGAUUGCUCGCUACGGAUCAAGAGCGGACUUUAAACAGACGGAGCUACAAGGCUACACACAGCUGCACGGACUGAUCUAACGGACUUCACGGCAUACAACGGCUUUAAACUAGUUUGAGGAUCGCAGUGAGUACUAAAACAAAGAAACUAACUGAACUUUUAAAGGGACAAUUUCUCGAUUAUGGUGUGUGUGUGUUUUUAAAGGGCAAUUGGCGUUGUUGUGUGUGUUUAAGUCACUUGUUAAAUGAAUUGUGAUCUAUCAAAGUGUUUAACUAUGCAUUUUAAUGCCUUUUUGCAUAUGGUUAAAAUGAGUGGUUAAUUUAGUGCCUUAUUGACCUAAAAUUAUUGUGGGGUAUUAAUUUAUAGAUCCAAAAAUGUCAAAAUCAGAUAUAGGUUCAAAGAAGCACACUAAGCAAGCUGAUAUAGAAACUAGGAGUGAAAAUACACGACGUUCAACACGUGCACAGGUCCCUACUGAAAAAAUGUUAGCUUAUCAGCAGGAAGAGCAACAAAAAAAGAAGAAAAAGGUUAUUUCUUUGUAUGAUAAAUGGAAAAUUGAAGCCCGUAAUGCACGUGAGCAACUUAAAUCGGAUCUAUCAGACACUCAAUUAGCUAUUUUAAUUGAAACUUUGGAAAUUGCUAAAAAUAAGGUUCUCAGUGCUUAUGAUGAAUUUAGGAAACAAACAUUACCUGAUGUUGAGAUGAGACGAAAAAUGGAUUCAUGUGAAGCAGUAACAACUGAUGUGACCAGAAUUGUUAAUGAAAGAAUAGCAGGAAUAGACGGUGAUUACAGUUAUGAGAGGGAAAAGGAACGUCUUAGUGCUUUGAGUUAUAAGUAUGCUAAUUCAAUUUUUGGUUCAACAGCUUCACAAGUUAGUCAGGAAAUCAGUGAUCAUUCAGGUCAUUGCUCUGUUUUAUCAGACUUGGAGGCGAAACGUGUAGAUGCUGCAGCAGAAGUAGCAGCCAAACAAGCUGCAUAUAAUUCUUUAAUGGCAGAAACUAAGCAAAAAGAGAAAAUAAAAGAGUUAGAAGAUCAGCAUAAAAAAGCCCUUGAAGUUGAGUUUAAAGAAUUAGAGCAAAUUCAAGCGCAAAAGGAUUUAAAAGUAGCUCAAGCUAAACUGGAUGUUUACAGUGAAGAAGUUGAGAAAAUAACCAGCUCUUUAAAUGAUUGUAGUAGUGCGAGUGGAUCGGAGUUGUCUCAAGGAAAUGAAAGGAAAGAAGUUAAUCGACAGGAACAAAAUGAGACCACAAAUCCAUCAGUUAAAGCAUCAACUUCUGAAUUCUCUGCUCUUGUUCAAGCACUUCAAGAUGGCAUAUCUGCAAGCAAACUUCCAGUUCCAGAGCCUCCUAUUUUUACAGGUGAUCCUAUUCACUUUAUUGAGUUUAAGCAAUCCUUUAUGGCACUUAUUGAUAAGAAAGGGAUUUCCUCUGCUGAUAAGAUGUUUUAUCUCAAGAAAUAUGUGAGUGGGCCUGCACGGAAAGCCUUGGAUGGCACUUUCUUCAGAACUGAUGAUGAAGUCUACAAAGAUGCUUGGGAUAAGUUAAAUCAUCGAUACGGCCAUCCAUUUAUUAUUCAAAAGGCGUUUAGAGAACGUUUAGCAAAUUGGCCUAAAAUCCACCCAAAGGAUGCCAUGGGACUUCAAGCUUUCUCAGAUUUUCUGAAUGCAUGUCGUGGUGCAUUACCUCAUGUUAAGGGUCUUCAGAUCUUAAACGAUUACCAAGAGAAUCAAAAACUUAUGCAAAAGUUACCUGAUUGGGCAAUUAGUAGAUGGAAUCGUCAAGUUACACAGUCUAUCACCAAUAAUCAUGAAUAUCCCACUUUUGAUGAAUUUGCUGUGUUUGUGUCAACUGAAGCGGAUGUAGCAUGUAAUCCAGUUACUUCCUUCCAUGCUCUUCACAAUUCAGGAUAUACAGAUGAGAAGGUAAACAUGAAAGAAGUCAAGAAAAAUAGAAUACGGGUUUUGGCUACUCAAUCAAACACUGAAGGGGAUCAAUAUGUGAUUAAGUCUUCUAGCAAAACUCAAUGUGUGUUCUGUCAGGAAAAUAAUCAUCAACUUGACAAUUGUUCUAAAUUUCUCAGUAGACCAUUAGAAGAACGACGGCAAUACAUCCAAGAAAAGAAGCUUUGUUAUGGAUGCCUGAAUUUUGGACACAGUGCAAAAGUAUGUCGAUAUCGUCUAACAUGUGAUACCUGUAACAAGAAGCAUCCAACUAGUUUGCACAAUAACAACUUUGUGAAAAUGGUAAGAACUUCAUCUUCUGCAGUUCAAACGCAAAACGAUCCUGAAGGUACGGCUAAUGCAGUAACGUUAAAUGUAGCUGGAGAAGAACCUGGUGUGUGUACUUCUAUGAUUGUCCCUGUUUGGGUAUCCGCGAAACAUAAUCCAAGUUGUGAACAAUUGGUAUAUGCGCUGUUGGAUUCUCAGAGUGACACGACUUUCAUUGAUAAAAGUGUGAGUGAUUCAUUAAAAGCUGCAUCAUUUCCAGUGAAACUAAAGCUGACAACAAUGCUUGGAAGGGAUACGGUACUUCAAAGUGAGAGAGUGACUGGACUUCAGGUGAGAGCUUAUAAGUCUAGUGACUAUAUCGAUUUACCAGCAACUUAUACUAAAGAUUGUAUUCCAGCAAAUCGCCACCAUAUUCCCACGAAUGAGGUUGCUGAACAUUGGAAGCAUCUUUCAGUCAUCGCAGACAAAAUACCUCCACUACAGGAUUGUGAUGUUGGCCUGUUAAUCGGCUACAACUGUUCAAGAUCAAUGAUUCCCAGAGAAGUGAUAGUAGGAGGAGACGACGAGCCCUAUGCGGUUCAAACGGAUCUUGGAUGGAGUAUAGUAGGUUGUUCACCACGCUCUGACUUAUUUAAUGUUAGUAGAUUGUGUCAUCGCAUAGCAGUUAGGGAGCUUCCUUCUAUCACACCUGUCAACAUAAUACGGGCCCUUGAGAGUGAUUUUAAAGAUGCAGACGAAGAAACUGUCAGAGUAUCCCAAGAUGAUAUUCUCUUUCUUGAGAAAUUAAAAUCCGGCAUAAGUAAAAACAUUCACGGUCACUACCAAAUGCCCCUUCCUUUUAAAGUAAGGCCGAAACUGCCUAAUAACAAACGAUGCGCUAUGGUUAGACUUGAUCACCUUAAAAGGAAGAUGGUAAGAGAUGAAUCAUACAUGAAGAAUUACAAUCAGUUCAUGAGUCAAAUCUUUCAGAGAGGAGAUGCUGAAGAAGUGCACAGUAGUGGUAAGGAAGGAGAAACGUGGUACCUACCUCACCAUGGUGUUUUUCAUCCGAAAAAGGCAGACAAACUGCGUGUGGUCUUCGACUGUUCUGCAAGGCAUGAAGGUUCAUCCCUAAAUGAUCACUUGCUUCAAGGUCCUGAUCUCAUAAAUAGUUUGCAUGGCAUUCUAAUUCGAUUUCGUCAACAUCCCAUUGCACUUACUUGUGACGUUGAAAAAAUGUACCAUCAGUUUCACGUAGAUGAACCCGAUAGAGAUUUUCUGCGAUUUCUUUGGUGGAAGAAUGGAGACAUCACACAACCUGUUCAUGAAUUUCGUAUGAAAGUUCAUUUAUUUGGGGCUGCUUCAUCUUCAGGUUGUGCGAACUACGGCCUAAAACAUCUUGCGACUGAAAAUGGGGAGUUGUAUCCACUGGGCUCACAGUUCUUGCUUAAGAACUUUUAUGUCGACGAUGGAGUGAUCAGUGUGGAAAACGUGCAUGAAGCCAUUAAGGUUGCAGACGAAGCGCGACGUCUCUGUGCAUUAGGUGGUUUACGAUUACAUAAGUUCUUGUCUAAUAAUGAACUUGUAUUGAAGGGCAUCCCUCAAUCGGAGAGGAUGUGUGGUGUAAGGGGUCUGGAUCUUGCCUUUGAUGAAUUGCCAUUAGAGAGAACACUUGGAUUGCAGUGGGAUAGGGAAUCUGACUGCUUCAAGUUUAAAGUACACCUGAAAGAACAACCUGCCUCUCGGCGUGGCAUAUUAUCUGCUGUCGCUUCUGUUUAUGACCCUUUAGGACUCAUUGCACCUGUCCUUUUCAAUGGAAAGCGAAUCUUGCAAGAGAUGUGCAAGAAUGGCAGUGGUUGGGAUGACCCUCUGAUGGAUGGACUGAGUUUAAGAUGGGUAAAAUGGAAACAAGAUUUACAAAGCCUGCAAAAUCUAAGCAUACCACGCACAUAUGUACCAUUGAAUUUCGGGAAACCAAUUAGUAUUGAAUUGCAUCAUUUCUCCGAUGCUAGUAAUGAUGGAUAUGGUCAAUGUUCUUAUGUCAGAGUAAAGAAUGAAGAAGGAAAUGUUCAUUGCGCACUUGUGAUGGCAAAAUCAAGAGUUGCACCUCUCAAAGUUGUAACAGUCCCUAGGUUGGAAUUAGCUGCUGCUGUAGUCUCAGUGGAAGUAAGUAAUGUACUCAAAAGGGAGCUGGAUUAUCCCGUUGCUAAUGAGACAUUUUGGACUGACUCUAAAGUGUUGCUGGGGUAUAUAAGUAAUGAAGCACGCAGAUUUCACACAUUUGUUGCAAACCGGGUGCAAAGGAUAUGCCGCAGCACAAAAAUCGAACAGUGGAGAUAUGUUCCGACGGAAAGAAAUCCCGCUGACUACGCAUCUAGGGGUCUCACUGUAAAGCAACUACUUGACUCUGAUUGGUUUACCGGCCCAAAAUUUUUGUGGGAAACUGAAAUGUUUAUUCCAUCUGAGCCCGCUCCUGCUCUUCUAUUGGGCGAUCCAGAAGUAAAAAGCUUUUUUACUUUGAAUACAGAGUGUCAAAACAGCUUCAAUUUGGCCAACCGCUUAACAAAAUUUUCUUCAUGGACUAAGGCAGUUGGAGCUGUAGCUCGUCUCUUAAGGAGAGCCAACAAGGAUAGAUCUAGUAGUCUUAGUACCAUGCUAGAAAGACAAAAGGCAGAACUCCAUAUAAUUAAAUGCUUGCAAGAGAGUUCUUUUAAGGAUGAGCUGAAGGAAAUCAAGGGUGGGAGAGGUGUGUCAUGUGGUGCAUUACGUCCUCUUGACCCUUUCGUGGAUCUUGAUGGUGUGCUUAGGGUGGGAGGAAGACUUACUCGAUCAAGUUACCCAGACUCUGUGAAGCAUCCCAUAAUUAUUCCAAAGACACAUCAAAUUACACAAAUGAUCGUUGCUCAUUAUCACAACAAAGUUAUGCAUCAAGGAAAAGGAUUUACUGUAAAUGAAAUUAGAAGUAAUGGGUUCUGGAUCCCAGGAAUCAACAAAGUUGUGGCAUCCUUCAUUAAAGGUUGUGUUGUCUGCAGAAAACUCAGAAGACCAGUUGAGGAACAAAAAAUGGCAGAUCUUCCACCAGAAAGAGUUGAUCCAUCCCCUCCGUUUCUGUACACUGGGAUGGAUUGUUUUGGUCCGUUUUCAGUUAAGUCUAGGCGAAAUGUACAAAAAAGGUAUGGCCUCCUGUUAACGUGUCUUUGUUCCCGUGCUGUGCACAUUGAACUGCUUAAUGACUUGACAACUGAUUCUUUUAUAAAUGCUCUACGUUGUUUUAUUGCCAUUAGAGGCACAGUUCGACAGCUAAGAUCUGAUCAAGGGACCAAUUUUGUGGGAGCAAGAAACGAGCUGAAAGGUGCACUCUGUGAAAUGGAUCCAGAAAGAAUAACUACUUUCCUUUUGGAAAAUCAGUGCGAAUUCAUCAUGAAUACACCUCAUGCAAGUCAUGCUGGUGGCGUAUGGGAACGUCAAAUAAGAACAAUAAGAUCUGUUCUGAAUGCGACCUUUGCUCUUUAUCCAGGGAAAUUAGAUGACUCUUGUCUGAGAGCGUUCCUUUAUGAAGCAAUGGCAAUUGUAAAUAGCAGACCACUAACUGUUGAUUGUUUGAAUGAUCCACAAAGUUUAAGACCCAUUACUCCGAACAAUCUGCUUACAUUGAAGCCAGUGACUGCUCUGCCUCCACCAGGUAAAUUUUUGGAGGAAGAUGUGUAUGCAAGAAAGAGGUGGAGACACGUGCAGUACUUAGCCGAACAGUUUUGGAGCCGUUGGCGCAAGGAAUAUUUAGCAAACAUAGUGACUCGUCAGAAAUGGAAUAUGCCUAAGAGAAACCUUCAAAUUAAUGACAUUGUAUUGGUGAAGGAAGAAAACUUGCCUAGAAAUGAAUGGAAGCUAGGUAGGAUACAGGAAACCAUUAGUAGUGGUGACGGGCUUAUUAGGAAGGCUAAAGUGCUCUUAGGUGAUUGUAAACUUGAUGCGAAGGGAAAACGUACAACCAAGCAAUCCAUAAUUGAAAGACCAGUGCAAAAACUUGUAUUGCUAAAGGAAGGAAAUGAAUAGUUAUUUAAAAUUGUGUAAAUAAGUGGAUCAUGAAAUCAUUUUAAAUUUUCUACAUAUUUAUGGGUGUGUAUUUAUUAUCAUGAAAAAAAAAAAAAGGGUAUUUAUAAAAAAAAAAAAAAUUUUUAAAGGGAAAAAAAAAAAAAAAAAAAAACACGUGAAGAGUUUGUUGCUAGGAAAUUAUUCGUGACUUGUAAUUUGGGUUUAAUACUUGCACUCAUAAUUUGGUGGGAGUGUUAAUAACUUUGACAUGGUGUCUUUGUUAUUACAUCUUCUCUACAAUGUUUAUAUUGUGUGUGUGUGUAUACUUUCUCUUUCUCUAUUAUAUGUAUAUUUGAUAUUUUGGUAUUUAUGUUAUGAAGUGUUCAGUGUAAAACCGGAAGUCUUUUAAUUUGAAUUAAUUACCAUUACGGAUAUAAACAGACACGGAAAGAUCACACAUGAUCAUGGCGUCCCAGCUGUGCGGUCUGCUACGGACUAAAGGUUUAGCUUCUGGUUUGAUUGGAGAACAAGCUCUUACGGUGUUUGCCGUACGGUGCAAGAUAUACGGUGUUUGGCCUUUGGUAUAAGGUGUUUUGAUGUUGACGACGGCGUCAGUGAAGUGAAUGCUGCACUGAAAUAAAUUAUGGAAAAACA